CGGCGCCGGAUGAAAGGGGCAGACACUGCCUGCCUAGUUGCAUGCUCAAUUCCACGGUCUACUCAAGUCCUCCCCGAAUCGUACAUAGUACACCACUCGCUCCUUCGUUCCUUCCCCCAAAUUAUCCGAUCCCCUCCCUCCCUCCCAGCAGUAGCCGCCGAGAGAGCUGAAACUGGAGCCCUGCCAAUCUCAGAUCCUAACGAGCGGUGGGGGCGGGACGAUCCCACGAGGAAGUGCAUACCGGCGGCGACGACAGCAGAGAUCGUUGCUGCGGCAUUUCCAGAGAAAUCCCAUUAAUUUCUGAUAAUGGAAUCCGACUUGAUGGCUGGCACAUAGAGAUCAGAUGGUAUCACAACACUAAUAGCCAAUAAGUGGCUGCAACCGCCGUGGAUAACAUUUCAUCAUUCCUUCAGCCUCAAUCACAGCUCUAGGCCUCGAUUGAAUCUCAUUCAAUGGUUGUUCCAUUGAGACUCAUGCCAUCAAGACAGGAACCAAUGAUUCUAAUAAUGGAGGAUGGAUUAUACUCCCUCGUGCUGCAAAAAGAAGUACGUGGACUCAAGGAAGCCACUGAAGUUAAUUAACUUGUCUUCUUAUAGAAAGGACAGCUUCUACAACUAUUAGCUCAGCUAGCCAAGGAAGAAAAACCGAACAAAGAGACAAAGACCAAAGAGGGAAAAAUAUGUCUGGAACCAUGGUGAGCGCUUCCACUGGUGCAGUAAACUCUCUCCUUGGCAAACUCACUACACUAAUGGGUGAGGAGUAUGGCAAGCUCAAAGGCAUCCGGAAGGAGGUGUCAUAUCUGGAGGAGUUCAACAGCAUGAAGGCUCUUCUUGAGAAGUUAGCGGAAAUGGAUGAGCUGGAUGCUCCAGCCAAGGAGUGGAGGAACCAAGUGAGAGAUGUCGUAUGACAUUGAAGACUGCAUUGAUGACUUCAUGCAUCACUUUGGAAAGAAUGAUGCACCUAUUGGAUUUGUGAAGAAGACUGCUAAGCUUCUGAAGAAGUUGAGAGUGCGCCAUCAAAUUGCUAACAAGAUCCAGGAGAUCAAGAUUCGUGUGGAAGAGGUAAAUAAGCGAUGAAUGAGAUACAGGCUUGAUGGCUAUACCUCCAAACCUAGUUAUGUGCCUGUUGAUCCUCGUGUAGUGGCAAUAUAUGCAGAGGCUGCUGGUCUUGUGGGUAUUGAUGUCCCAACUGAUGAGCUUACUGCACUGCUCAUGGGCGAAGAGCAAGAGUUGAAGGUGGCUUCUAUUGUUGAAUUUGGAGGCCUGGGCAAAACCACACUUGCUAAUCAAGUGUACCGCAAGCUUGAACGGCAAUUUGACUGCCGAGCAUUCGUUUCAGUGUCUCAAAAGCCUGACAUACUAAAGCUUCUCAAUAAAGUAUUAUUAAAAAUUGGUGGGUGUGUUUCUCACGCCAGCGAGUUGGAUGACCUUCUCAAGAACAUCACAGAACAACUACAUGAUAAGAGGUAUUUAAUUGUGAUUGAUGAUUUAUGGGAUUCCUCAGCCUGGAGAGUUAUUAAAUGUGCUUUCCCAGCAAAUAAUUGCGGUAGUAGAGUACUAAUAACUACAAGGAUUUAUUCUAUUGCUUUUGCAUGUUGCUGUUAUAGCCAACAUUAUGUUUAUAACAUGAGGCCACUUGGUGAGGAUGAUUCAAGAAAACUAUUUUUUAGUAGAAUAUUCGGUUCUGGAGGUGCUUGCCCAGACAUAUUUGAAGAACUUUCAGUUGAUAUUCUAAAAAGAUGUGGUGGUUUGCCACUCGCCAUUAUCAGUAUAGCUAGCCUUCUAGCUGGUCAAUCUAAGGUGGCAUGGGUGUAUGUAAGGAGUUCGUUGGGCUCUAUGUUCAAAGGAAAUCUUUGUCUAGAAGACAUGAAGCAGAUACUGGACCUUAGUUACAGAAAUCUUCCUCAGCAUCUUAAGACUUGCUUGUUAUAUCUUGGUAUGUAUCCAGAGGACACUAUCAUUAAGAAGGAUGAUUUGGUGAGGCAAUGGAUUGCUGAAGGUUUUGUGAGUAAAAUUCAUGGGCUAGAUGCAGAUGAUGUUGCUGAAAGCUACUUCAAUGAGCUAAUCAACAUGAGCAUGAUUCAACCUGUGAAUGCAGACUACAAUGAUGAAGUGCUGUCCUGCAAAGUUCAUGAUAUAAUGAUUGAUCUAAUCAGAGUGAAAUCUGCAGAAGAGAACUUCUUCGAUGUGAUAGAUGAUCCUCAGGCCACAAUAAUACCACACAAGAAGAUCCGUCGAGCCUCCAUCCACUACAAUGGUGCAGGUCAUGAUGUGAUACUAACAAUAAUAAAUGGAUCACUGUGUCAGGUUCGAUCUGUCGAGGCUUUCACAAGGGUUUUGCUGCCAUCAUUUCAAAAGUUCAAGUAUGUCCGAGUUCUAUUACUUGAAUUUAAGGAAGCUCGGAUACACAAAAUGGACCUUACCAGUAUUUGUGGAUUAUUUCUACUAAGAUAUUUAAAGAUUGUAACUGAUGGUGAUUUGGAGCUUCCUAUUCAGUUUUGGGGUCUGCAGUAUUUGGAUACUGUGAUUUUGGAGAACCCAAAGAAAUUAUAUGUUCCAUCAGAUAUUGUUCGCUUGCGCCGGUUAUUACAUUUUAUUGUUCCACGUGGUAUGGUUUUUCAGGAUGGGAUUGGCAGCUUGAAAUUCUUGCGUACCCUGCAGGAGUUUGAUUUCUCAAGAAGCUCGUUGGAAAGCUUUAAGUCUCUUAACCAGCUGACCAACUUGAGAGAUCUUUGACUUGAUUAUGAUCGUAUGGACAUGGAUGACGUGACCAUGGAUGCCUUGCACACUUUGCUUGAAAGACUUCACCAUUGCAGCAGCCUCAAGAGCUUUUUUAUCAACAGUCAUAUACGUUACUUUGAUUGGCUCAGCACAUUGUCUGGUUUCCCACGCCAUAUUCAAAGGCUCCAUCUUUGGGGUCUCUGGUUUCCUAGGAUACCCAAGUGGAUAGCUCAGCUCCACGACCUCUACAACUUGGAGCUUGUGGUACGAGAGGUGGUGCCCGAGGAUGAUGGAAUUGAUAUUCUUGCAGGGUUGCCCUCCCUUGUACACCUCUGGUUGGUGAUUAAACAAGAUCCAGAAGAAACAGUUGUCAUCCCCAGCACUUCCAACACUGCUGUGGCAUUUCCAGCUCUCAAGCACCUCAAAUUUUGCUGUCCUAAACAGCUCCUAACCUUGGAAGCGGGGGCUCUGCCUAGGCUGCAGAACCUUGAGCUGCGGUUGACAGUGGCCGGAUGGGAAGAGGUCAUCAAGUGGUUGGAACCUGCUGGCAUCGAGCACUUACCCGCUGGUCUCAAAAGGAUAUUUCUAUACUGUAAUCGCAACCUUGCCGAUAAAGCCACAUUGUCUACGCUGAAGAGUGUGUUUCACAUGCACCAUCCUGAUGUUGACUUGUGGUUGCCAAGCACGAAUUAGUACUAUGGCUCUGGCCAGGCUACAGAGGAUUCAACUAGUUUUUACUGUGGCUGGAUGGGGAGACGUCGGCAAGUCGUUGGAACAUGUCGGCAUCAUCGAGCUCUUGCCGGGUUGCCUCAAAAAGAUCAAUAUGUGCUGCUUCUAUAAGUAGGGUUACUAGAAAACAGUGGAGUCAGAAAUUGUGAGUUGGGUAUUCCUAGACAAUAAGAAAAUGAUAAGUUAAAAUUGCCUGCUGUCAUAUUUACUUGUUGGUCUGUUUUUUGCAAUCAGUUUAGGCUUAGAUAAGAAGCUAAGAGCGGAUGAAUUUGUCUAACACAAACAAUAUACAUCUAUAUAUCAUAGAUAUACUUUAUUGUUUUGUCGAAA